rnacentral:lncRNA from 1 species
GGAAGGAAAAAUACAAGCACGAACCUUAGAGAUCACAAUCAUUUUUGGACAAAACAUAAGUGUAGUUGAUCAAAAUUCAUUACACGAUUAAAAUGGUGAAAGAAAAUGAGGGUUUAAUUUCACGGAAUGAGAAAUUAAUGUUAGACAUUCAACCACAUGCAAGCUCGGUGACAUUCGCAAUACAACGCAAGAUUUAAGAAAAUGAGUUCAGAAUUUUACUAUUUUCAUCAAAUGGUUGAAGACAUGUGAAGUACCAGCAUCACAAAUAUUAUCAUCAUAGAUCAGUUAUUUGCACCCGCUUGGAAUCGAACUCGGAUCAGUAGGAUGGUAGGAUAUAACUCUACCACUAUACCACUAGUU